rnacentral:rRNA from 1 species
UUGAUCCUGGCUCAGGAUGAACGCUGGCGGUCUGCUUAACACAUGCAAGUCGAACGCAACCUUCGGGUUGAGUGGCGGACGGGUGAGUAACGCGUGAGAAUCUGCCUUGGGGUCGGGGACAACCACUGGAAACGGUGGCUAAUACCGGAUAAGCCUUUGGGUAAAAAAUUUAUUGCCCCAAGAGGAGCUCGCGUCUGAUUAGCUAGUUGGUGAGGUAAGAGCUCACCAAGGCAGCGAUCAGUAGCUGGUCUGAGAGGACGAUCAGCCACACUGGGACUGAGACACGGCCCAGACUCCUACGGGAGGCAGCAGUGGGGAAUUUUCCGCAAUGGGCGAAAGCCUGACGGAGCAAGACCGCGUGAGGGAGGAAGGCUCUUGGGUUGUAAACCUCUUUUCUCAGGGAAGAAGCUCUGACGGUACCUGAGGAAUCAGCCUCGGCUAACUCCGUGCCAGCAGCCGCGGUAAUACGGAGGAGGCAAGCGUUAUCCGGAAUUAUUGGGCGUAAAGCGUCCGCAGGUGGCGAUUCAAGUCUGCUGUCAAAGCACGGGGCUUAACUCCGUUAAGGCAGUGGAAACUGAAUAGCUAGAGUGCCGUAGGGGUAGAGGGAAUUCCCGGUGUAGCGGUGAAAUGCGUAGAGAUCGGGAAGAACAUCGGUGGCGAAAGCGCUCUACUGGACGGCAACUGACACUCAGGGACGAAAGCUAGGGGAGCGAAUGGGAUUAGAUACCCCAGUAGUCCUAGCUGUAAACGAUGGAUACUAGGUGUAGCUUGUAUCGACCCGAGCUGUGCCGAAGCUAACGCGUUAAGUAUCCCGNCUGGGGAGUACGCACGCAAGUGUGAAACUCAAAGGAAUUGACGGGGGCCCGCACAAGCGGUGGAGUAUGUGGUUUAAUUCGAUGCAACGCGAAGAACCUUACCAGGG